UGGCAGACGGGUGAGUAAUGCAUAGGAAUCUGCCCAGUAGUAUGGGAUAGCCACUAGAAAUGGUGGGUAAUACUGUAUACGCCCUGCGGGGGAAAGAUUUAUCGCUACUGGAUGAGCCUAUGUUAGAUUAGCUAGUUGGUAGGGUAAAGGCCUACCAAGGCAGUGAUCUAUAGCUGGUCUGAGAGGAUGAUCAGCCACACUGGAACUGAGAUACGGUCCAGACUCCUACGGGAGGCAGCAGUGGGGAAUAUUGGACAAUGGGCGCAAGCCUGAUCCAGCUAUGCCGCGUGAGUGAGGAAGGCCUUAGGGUUGUAAAACUCUUUCAGCGGGGAAGAUAAUGACGGUACCCGCAGAAGAAGUCCCGGCAAACUCCGUGCCAGCAGCCGCGGUAAUACGGAGGGGGCAAGCGUUGUUCGGAAUUAUUGGGCGUAAAGGGCAUGUAGGCG
rnacentral:rRNA from 1 species